AACGAACGCUGGCGGCAUGCCUAACACAUGCAAGUCGAACGAGACCUUCGAGUCUAGUGGCGCACGGGUGCGUAACGCGUGGGAACCUGCCCUUAGGUUCGGAAUAACUCCCCGAAAGGGGUGCUAAUACCGGAUAAUGUCUUCGGACCAAAGAUUUAUCGCCUUUGGAUGGGCCCGCGUUGGAUUAGCUAGUUGGUAGGGUAAAAGCCUACCAAGGCGACGAUCCAUAGCUGGUCUGAGGGGAUGAUCAGCCACACUGGGACUGAGACACGGCCCAGACUCCUACGGGAGGCAGCAGUGGGGAAUAUUGGACAAUGGGCGAAAGCCUGAUCCAGCAAUGCCGCGUGAGUGAUGAAGGCCUUAGGGUUGUAAAGCUCUUUUACCCGGGAUGAUAAUGACAGUACCGGGAGAAUAAGCUCCGGCUAACUCCGUG
rnacentral:rRNA from 1 species